AAACUACAAAGGAAUUGACGGGACCCGCACAAGCAGCGGAGCGUGUGGUUUAAUUCGUUUGCUUACACGAAGAACCUUUACCUGGGUUUUGACAUAUAGGUUGUAGGGAACUGAAAAGGGACCGACCCUUCGGGGAGCCUAUACAGGUGUUGCAUGGCUGUCGUCAGCUCGUGUCGUGAGAUGUUCGGUUAAGUCCGCUAACGAGCGCAACCCUCGUCGUAUGUUAUAUGUGUCAUACGAGACUGCCGGUAAAAGCCGGAGGAAGGUGAGGAUGAUGUCAAGUCAGCAUGACCUUUAUAUCCAGGGCUACACACACGCUACAAUGGUCUGUACAAUGGGUAGCCAAGCCGCGAGGCGGAGCCAAUCCUGAAAGCAGGCCUCAGUUCAGAUUGCAGUCUGCAACUCGACUGCAUGAAGCCGGAGUUGCUAGUAACCGCAGGUCAGCAAUACUGCGGUGAAUACGUUCCCGGGUCUU
rnacentral:rRNA from 1 species